rnacentral:rRNA from 1 species
GAUGAACGCUGGCGGCGUGCCUAAUACAUGCAAGUCGAGCGAACAGACGAGGAGCUUACUCCUCUGACGUUAGCGGCGGACGGGUGAGUAACACGUGGAUAACCUACCUAUAAGACUGGGAUAACUUCGGGAAACCGGAGCUAAUACCGGAUAACAUGUUGAACCGCAUGGUUCAACAGUGAAAGACGGUCUUGCUGUCACUUAUAGAUGGAUCCGCGUCGCAUUAGCCAGUUGGUAAGGUAACGGCUUACCAAGGCAACGAUGCGUAGCCGACCUGAGAGGGUGAUCGGCCACACUGGAACUGAGACACGGUCCAGACUCCUACGGGAGGCAGCAGUAGGGAAUCUUCCGCAAUGGGCGAAAGCCUGACGGAGCAACGCCGCGUGAGUGAAGAAGGUCUUCGGAUCGUAAAACUCUGUUAUUAGGGAAGAACAAAUGUGUAAGUAACUAUGCACGUCUUGACGGUACCUAAUCAGAAAGCCACGGCUAACUACGUG